rnacentral:rRNA from 1 species
AGAGCGAACGCUGGCGGCAGGCUUAACACAUGCAAGUCGAGCGGGCGUAGCAAUACGUCAGCGGCAGACGGGUGAGUAACGCGUGGGAACGUACCUUUUGGUUCGGAACAACACAGGGAAACUUGUGCUAAUACCGGAUAAGCCCUUACGGGGAAAGAUUUAUCGCCGAAAGAUCGGCCCGCGUCUGAUUAGCUAGUUGGUGAGGUAACGGCUCACCAAGGCGACGAUCAGUAGCUGGUCUGAGAGGAUGAUCAGCCACAUUGGGACUGAGACACGGCCCAAACUCCUACGGGAGGCAGCAGUGGGGAAUAUUGGACAAUGGGCGAAAGCCUGAUCCAGCCAUGCCGCGUGAGUGAUGAAGGCCCUAGGGUUGUAAAGCUCUUUUGUGCGGGAAGAUAAUGACGGUACCGCAAGAAUAAGCCCGGCUAACUUCGUGCCAGCAGCCGC